rnacentral:rRNA from 1 species
GUACACACCGCCCGUCACGCCAUAGGAGUUGGGGGGUAUCCGAAGUCGGUGAGCUAACCGCAAGGGGGCAGCCGCCUAAGGUAAAACCAAUGACUGGGGUGAAGUCGUAACAAGGUAAC